AUGCAGAUGGGUUCUCUACCUGGCCUGUGCCUUGUUGCCUGUUCCUUUACUGUACAUGUGAUGACAAGAAAAGAAGAUGGACCCUCCAUGUUGAACAUGCCUGAUAAAACUCUGCAAAGACAAUGUCUAGCACUUAUAUCUCCAGUAACUCCUGUCAAGGUUUAUUGUUGCUUGUUCAUCAUUGCAGUCCUGACUACAAGUGUGAUUGCACUUUCUAUUGUUUUGUCAGCAAGAAAGGAAAAGCCAGUGGUAGAGUCAUCUAAAUACGCUGCUUGCCCAAAAAGCUGAAUUAGAUUUAGGAGUAAAUGUUUUUAUUUUUCUGAAGGCAUAAGAAAUUAGACAUUGAGUCAAACGUUCUGUGUCUCAUUAGAAGCCAGCCUUGCUCAGUUUGCAACUAUGGAGGAACUGAAUUUCCUGAAAAGAUACAAAGGCCCUUCUGACCAUUGGAUUGGCCUUAGAAGAGAAUCAUCCCAUCGCAUUUGGAAAUGGACAGACAACAUGGAAUAUAAUAACAUGCUUGCUAUCAGAGGAAGUGGAGAAUGUGCCUUCCUGAAUGACAAUGGAGUCAACAGUGGCAGAAUCUACAUGAACAGAAAAUGGAUUUGUAGCAAGCCAAACAAUUAUGUCUACAGUUGCCAGUUAUGUCCCCACUGGGAUACUACCUAGUAGAGCUGUGAGAAGAGGGCCACCAUCCUCCAGACUCCAGAAUGGUGGAAUCAGCAGCAGCUUCCACCAUGCCCCUGGAAAAACUGCAAGUAACAGACCUGCACAUGUAUCCCCUACAUCUAAAAUAAAAGUUGGAAAAAAUGGAACUUUGAUGUUAAGAUGCACUGAUACAAAACUUAAAUUUUGGUCUCCUACAUUAAAACAAUAUGAGUCUCUUAAAAUAUUGAUUUGUUCUUAGUAAGAUUACAAGAGGCUUUGAUUUUUAAUUCUGCAAUGUUUCCUUAACAGCCAUUCUGAAUUACAAACUAAUUCCUAUUUCUGCCACAUUCCUUCCUGAGAACUGUCUAGUCCUGGUUUGGGAUUUAUCUUAAAGGUCUAGAAAGGCAACAUUUUACUUCAGCAAAACUUGAUUCUAUAUUGUUGUUUUUUCUUAAUGUGUCAAAAUUGUUUUGUUACUAGGAUUUCCUAUGUUGUUAUUAAAUGUAUUCCCCUGAUCAAGGUCACUGGCCUAGAAAACAAAGAUUCUGUGUUUUACCAAGAUAAUUCCCAGUGCUUCAUGGUGUCUUUAUUAGGCUUUGACUGCUUAGGGAAACUGAGCCUUAAAAGGGUAAAAGUUUUUCCAUCCAUGUAACUUUCUGAGGUCUUUAGGUUGUCACUCUGAUUAAAUGAGUAGUAUUCUUAGCAGUGACUUAUUAUCUGUUGAAGGAAGUAUUUUAAGCUUUUUGACAUCUUUGGCAGGUUUCUCUAGAAUCCAAAUCCUAAAUUAAGCCUUUUGGCCUAAAAAUGACUGGGAUUUUUCCAGGUGGACCCCCUAGAUAUGCUCCUCCAAAGGCUUGUCUUUCUUGUAGAGUUAUUAAAUGAUUAGGCUUAUUUGGCAAAUACUGCUAGAAGCAUUGUCAAAUAAGAAAUGGUGUUUUACCUUUCUUUAAGCUGUGUUUGUGUAAGUUCAUCAUUUAUAGAAAUGUGAAAUUUUAUGAGAUUCCUAAGAUACUGACAUGCUGAGAUACCUGUAAUAAUUGCAAUUUUUAUGUUGGAUGAUUGUAUGCCACAGAAGCACUUAAAUUUCCUGGUUAAUUGGUAACGUUAAUCAGAUCUUUACCUAUGGCUGUUCUGGGUUUUUGUCAUUCACAGUUAUUAUUUUAAUUUCUUCUUUGGAAGCGUUCGCAAUCAGCUAUAGUCCAAAAUUGCUAAUUAAGAUCAAGCAAAACAAAAUUAAUUACGUAAAAUUAAUUUAUAAGGAUGUUUUUAUGACGUAAAUGUUUUAUUUUCCAGAGCCAAGGAAAUUUUCUGUCACAAGCUAUCUACCGUUUGCAAUAAUUUGAUAAAUAAUCCUUUGUGAACAA
rnacentral:lncRNA from 1 species